CUUCAGUGAUGAUACGAUGACGAGUCGGAAUGAUUCUGUCUGGUUCUGCUGCUCUCCGGUUCAGAUCCACGUUCUGUGGUUCUGCGCUGGUUCUUCAGAUCAGCAGAACUUUUCAGUUGAAGACACUGAGGCAUUUGUCUGAGAAGG
ensembl:snoRNA SNORD15 Small nucleolar RNA SNORD15